UACGUAGGGUGCGAGCGUUGUCCGGAAUUAUUGGGCGUAAAGAGCUUGUAGGCGGUUUGUCGCGUCUGCUGUGAAAUCCCCGGGCUUAACCUGGGAAUGGCAUUUGGGACUGCAAGGCUUGAGUGCGGCAGAGGAGACUGGAAUUCCUGGUGUAGCAGUGAAAUGCGUAGAUAUCAGGAGGAACACCGAUGGCGAAGGCAGGUCUCUGGGCUGACACUGACGUCA
rnacentral:rRNA from 1 species